GCAUGUCUAAGUAUAAGCUUUUAUACGGUGAAACUGCCAAUGGCUCAUUAAAACAGUUAUCGUCUCCUUGGCAGUCAUCCAUUCUUUGGAUACCUAUGGUAAUUCUAGAGCUAAUACAUGCCAACAGACCCGACUUCUCGGAAGGGUUGCGCUUAUUAGAUACUGAACCAAUCCAGGCUUGCCUGGCUUUGAGUUGACUCAUAGUAACUAGCGAAUCGCAUGGCUCCGCCGGCGAUGUGCCAUCCGAGUUUCUGACCUAUCAGCUUUCGACGGUAGGGUAUUGGCCUACCGUGGCGGUGACGGGUAACGGAGAAUUAGGGUUCGAUUCCGGAGAGGGAGCCUGAGAAACGGCUACCACAUCUAAGGAAGGCAGCAGGCGCGCAAAUUACCCAAUUUUGACACAGGGAGGUAGUGACAAGAAAUACCAAUACGAGGCAAUUAUGUCUAGUAAUUGGAAUGAGUGCGAUUCAAAUAUCCCAACGAGUACCAAUUGGAGGGCAAGUCUGGUGCCAGCAGCCGCGGUAAUUCCAGCUCCAAUAGCGUAUAUUAAAGUUGUUGCGGUUAAAAAGCUCGUAGUUGGAUUUCUGUCAGCGAGUGGCGCUCCGCCCCUUGUGGUGAGUAGCCGUCAUGCCGCCGGCAUCUUUCUGGGGAGCGUGUCUGCACUUCAUUGUGUGGUGCGCAAGCCAGAACUUUUACUUUGAGGAAAUGAGAGUGUUUCAAGCAGGCAAUCGCCGUGAAUACGUUAGCAUGGAAUAAUAGCAUCGGACCUCGUCCCAAAGCUGUUGGUUCCUUGGGUGCGAGGUAAAGGUGAAUAGGGAUUGUUGGGGGCAUUCGUAUUACACUGUCAGAGGUGAAAUUCUUGGAUUUGUGUAAGACGGACUACUGCGAAAGCAUCUGCCAAAGAUGUUCUCAUUGAUCAAGAAC
rnacentral:rRNA from 1 species